rfam:Schistosoma haematobium scaffold1446_4, whole genome shotgun sequence.
AGCUUUCCGAAUCCGUGCACAAGUUUCACCAAACACCAACCCAUCAGGGCUGAUUAGACUUCCAAGAUAAGUGAAGUU